CACACAUCAUAAAAAGAAGCAAUAUGGCAUUUUCUACCCAUGUGGAAAGACCAAUUAUCCUAAACUAAGCCUGAGGUUUAAUACCUCUGCAUUUCUCAAAUGGUUCUCAUGACUCUUUCACUAUAAUUCUGCUGCUUUAUUUUUUCUUGUACUGAGAAAAGAGAACUAACUAAGGUCCUAUUUUUGUUCCCUUUUUCAUAGGUGAAGUAACUGGAGCUUAGAGAGAUUAUUUUGUCACUUUCCCGUGUCACAGCUUCCAGUGAUGGGGUUUGGCUCUGAAGCCACAGGGUGGCUGUCUGCACCUUUCAACUCAACUCUGGAUCACUGCCUCCCACCCAUCAGUCCUUCACCUCUGCCUUGUCUUCACCUCUCACAGCUGGUCGGUUGGCCAGAGUUUCUCAUCAAGGAGUACAUGCUGUUUGCUCCCCAGAUGGACAGCCUGGAUGAGCUACAAAUCCACAGAGCCUGGGACACAAGGUGGAAAUUACACUGCCAGUACUUUUAAUCUUGCACAGCUCUGCAGACUUGAAAUUGCAAGUGGCCCAUUUCCAAAUAAGCAUCUAUUGGGACAAUAUCCUAUAUCUUGUCAGAAUGAGUUCCAUUAAAUCCUCAGCUGGAAUUAGACCAAAAACUUGUAAUAAUUAUAGGCAACUUAUUAAAAAGUUGAAGCCCUAGACUGUGACAGUGAAAACACUCAAGCGACAUUAACAGUAAUUGAUAUUUCUGUGAGUUCUUCUUUUUCAAUCAGCCCUUGUUGAUGGCUAAGCAAAGAACACCCAAAUGAGAAGGUGUGAAACCAAAACACCCAGCUUCUCAGAGGGGUAAUUGUCUUUUGUUUCAUUAUAAAAAUGUAGUGUUAGAAUAGCAGUGAACGGCUAAUUCUCAGCCAGGGGGACCUGCCAGACCCAUUUUCCCCCUUGCAGAAGGAAUUCUGGUUGUUAUCAUCAUAUAUGAAUGACCUGGCCUCUCCUCAGCCUCUCCUCAGUCGUGUGGGCCCUCUUUCUCCUCUCAUCUGCUGUUCUGCCUUCUACCUUCAACAUUCAUUGCCUCCCCUACCAACUUCUGAGGGUUAAAGACAAGAGUAAUAAAGAAAUAAUUUUGAAACCUGGCCUAGCA
rnacentral:lncRNA from 13 species